GGAUUAGGCAUGCAAGUCGAACGAGGACAUAUCCUUCGGGAUAUAGGCCGAGUGGCGAAAGGGUGAGUAAUGCAUAGACAACCUGCCUUUAGGAUAAGAAUAACUCUGUGAAAGCGGGGCUAAUACUUAAUAAUACAAAAGAAAAUAAUUUUCUUUNGUCAAAGGGAGGGUAGCAAUACCUUUCGCCUAGAGAGGGGUUUAUGUCCUAUCAGCUUGUUGGUGGGGUAAUAGCCUACCAAGGCAAAGACGGGUAGCCGGUUUAAGAGGAUGGUCGGCCACACUGGGACUGAGACACUGCCCAGACUUCUACGGAAGGCUGCAGUCGAGAAUCUUUCGCAAUGCCCGAAAGG
rnacentral:rRNA from 1 species